UGUGAUAUAUAUUAGCUCAUGGUGGUUCAUUCAUGAAUUCACAAAAAAAGUAGAAGUGACCAGUGGCAGUGAGCAAAGGAUUACGAUUGUGAAAUUGCCUUCGCCCGGUCUUCAGGCAGUCACUGAAGUUUGAUUCAGUCGUAGGCACUCCAUUGAUUCAGGCAAUGUGCCUGCAGAGGGGGAAAAAAACACAGGAUCUGCCUAUCUAUCACUUUAAAGGAAGGAGGGCUUUCGUUUUGACUGGCGCAGGGCAAAAUUGAAACUGAAAUUGUUUUUUUCUCACUUGGAUGCAUUCUUGGUAUCAUCCACGAGGAUGAUCGCUGCGUUGCUUCUUGCUUGUGUUACAGCAGGAGCCCCUUCUCAUGUAGGAGCAUAAUCCUGCAAUGGAGAGAUGUUUUCAGGUGAAAACGGAGACGAUUGAGAUCGAUUUAUGUGGACGCUUCCCUUUCUAAUCGAUUUAUGUGGAUGCUUUCCUUUAUUUCAUAUUUGAUGGCGAUUGUUACGAUGAGUAUGAAGAGUUUUUUUUUUUGGUUGAAACUGGGCAGUAUUUAUUUCAUGAGCUGACAAAUCAUCAGCGAUAAUUAUCUGAAACGUUGCACGUAAUGUGCUCCUCUCCAUCAACGCUACCCACACCCAACACCAGCUAACUCAUGAGCAGCCCUAUUACAAGCUCGAGGUUUAAACACACUCAAAACUUAAGCUAUGAAGAGUUGUUACUUGGCCCUUGCUGCAAUACUAUUUGGCGAGCAAUUCGUAAGUGAGGUAAGAGACGCAAGUUUAA
rnacentral:lncRNA from 1 species